rnacentral:lncRNA from 1 species
CUUGGAACUAUGUUAUCUUUUAUGGCAAAGGGGAAUUUACAGGUGUUGUUAAGUUAGGAUUUUGAGAUGGGUCGAGUGUCCUGGUUCUAUCCAGGUGGAUCCAAUGUAAUCACAGGGUUAUUAUAAGUAAAAUAAGGAGGCAGGAGUGUUAGAGUCAGAGAUGUGACUAUAGGCACAGGUGUGUCGAAUGGUGUGAUUGCUGGCUAGAGGCCACGAGCCAAGGAAGCUGGAAAAGGCAGGGAAACAGAUCCUCCCUUAGCGACUCCAGAGAAAACACACCCUGUCGACACCUUGCUAUUAGCAGUUGUGACCCAUUUUGAACUUCUUGCCUCCAGAACGUGAAAACACUAAAUCUGUUGUUUUACGUAGCUACAUUUGCAGCAAUUUGUUACAGCAGAAAUAGGACACUACUGCGGUCGCCCAGGCACGAUUCACUGUGGGAGGGAACUCCAGGAAGGAGUGAAUUCCAGGAGCCAUCUUGGAUGCCACAAAGGAUAUGUUGGCUUUUAAGAGCUAUGAAGAUAAAACAAAAGGGAUUGACAGACAUAUCACCAUGACCUUUCUCUCUUACACAUUGAUGAAGAAGCUGGUUGUCAUCAUAGAGACACAGAUGAAGAGAUAUUCCAGAGCCAAGUUCAUCUCUGUGAUACAUUGGAGAGACACAAAAAGCCUGGAAAGACAUUGUGUUCUUGGUGCCCAGAAGUCUAGCAGACACAGGCUUUGUCAAAAUGGUAGAGGAAAUAAAUUCUAGGCACAUGAUGCUUUCCAGGAAAUGUCUUCUAAUUUUUGGAAAAUUUAACCAGAAAACUUCCUUUGAGAGAAUUUGUCAGUUAUACACACUCAAGCCAGCUAACCUGUGGGACUGAAUCAGCCAGUCAGUUGGUAGUGAUUAUGAAGCAGUUGUUUGAAUGGAUGGAAUGUCUGGCCAGUGAAUCCCUGAGG